AUGAGCGGCGCGACGGGCACCGCCGACUUCUUCUACCGGGAGGCGCUGCGCCUCGGCUACGUCGCCCGCUCCGCCUUCAAGCUGAUCCAGAUACAGAAGCAGCACAAGCUCAUCGCCCCGGGCGCCGCUGUGCUCGACCUCGGGUGCGCCCCCGGCGCGUGGCUCCAGGUGGCCUGCCAGAACCUGGGCCCGCUCGAGAAGGGCGGCCUGGUCGUCGGCGUCGAUGUCAAGAAGGUGAAGGUCCCCUCGGCGCACUGCGACUCGCGGGUCAGGACGGUCUGCACCGAUGUGAUGGCUCUGAUGAAGCAGCAAGCCCGAGCCAUGUCGCCGCAGGAACGAGGAUUUUCUGUGAUAUUAUCCGACAUGUGUCCGGUAGUUUCAGGGAUCACAACCAGAGAUGAAGCUAUAUCUUGUGAGCUGGGCAUGCGUGCGCUCUCGUUGGCAGUUGGUAAGAUAAAGUUCAAAGAAUCGGCUGACUAUCGUGAGACUAUGGAGAGGUUUCAGAGCUCCACGGGCCCAGAUCCUGAUGAGGACGGUGUUCUUAGACGUGGAGGCAGCCUAGUAAUCAAGUUUCUUGAGAACGAGGAUAUACCAGGGUUUAACAAAUUUUGCAAAGAGAAGUUUAAAAAAGUAUCUCUCCUGAGGCCUAAGGCGACGAGGUCUAGUUCGAGGGAGAUCUACAUGAUCUGUGAAGGUUUGCGGUAG
rnacentral:rRNA from 1 species